CUAGUGGCGGACGGUGAGUACACGUUGGAACCUAGCCCCAAAGUGAGGAAUAAGCCACCGAAAGGUGGUCUAAUACUUCAUAAUAUCCAUCUCGUAUGGAUUAAAGCUUUAUGCGCUUGGGGAGGGGCCUGCGUAACAUUAGCUUGUUGGUGAGGUAAAAGCUCACCAAGGCUUCGAUGUUUAACUGGUUUGAGAGGAUGACCAGUCACACUGGGACUGAGAUACGGCCCAGACUCCUACGGGAGGCAGCAGUAAGGAAUCUUCCACAAUGGGGCAACCCUGAUGGAGCAAUACCGCGUGCAGGAUGAAGCGUUUCGGCGUGUAAACUGCUUUUAUCACCGAAGAUUAUGACUGUAGGUGAAGAAUAAGGACCGGCUAACUACGUG
rnacentral:rRNA from 1 species